CUAGAAGAAGUGCACCUGUCCAUUGAUCGGGUGACACGCAAGCCAAAGGGAUUUGCCUUUGUCAGCUUUCUCUUUCCCGAGCAUGCAAUCCGGGCCUUCACCGAACUGGACGGCCAGAUGCUUCAGGGUCGUCUGCUCCAUCUGUUGCCGGCCAAGGCUAAGAAGUCUGAGGAACAAGAAGGUGAAGGUACAGAGGCCAAAUCAUACAAGGACAAAAAGGAAAUGGAGCUCAAGAAGUCCAGUGGCAAG